CGUAAUGGCGGCUGUGCGUGGGGCACCUUCGUGUGCGCCGGGUUUCUUCGUUUACCGGUCUGUCAACCCGCGUACAGCUGCCACCCCU
rfam:Pseudomonas sp. 5 contig9, whole genome shotgun sequence.